AUUGAACGCUGGCGGUAGGCCUAACACAUGCAAGUCGAGCGGCAGCACAGAGGAGCUUGCUCCUUGGGUGGCGAGUGGCGGACGGGUGAGGAAUACAUCGGAAUCUACUCUGUCGUGGGGGAUAACGUAGGGAAACUUACGCUAAUACCGCAUACGACCUACGGGUGAAAGCAGGGGAUCUUCGGACCUUGCGCGAUUGAAUGAGCCGAUGUCGGAUUAGCUAGUUGGCGGGGUAAAGGCCCACCAAGGCGACGAUCCGUAGCUGGUCUGAGAGGAUGAGCAGCCACACUGGAACUGAGACACGGUCCAGACUCCUACGGGAGGCAGCAGUGGGGAAUAUUGGACAAUGGGCGCAAGCCUGAUCCAGCCAUACCGCGUGGGUGAAGAAGGCCUUCGGGUUGUAAAGCCCUUUUGUUGGGAAAGAAAUCCAUCUGGUUAAUACCCGGGUGGGAUGACGGUACCCAAAGAAUAAGCACCGGCUAACCUCGUGCCAGCAGCCGCCGUAA
rnacentral:rRNA from 1 species